UACGGAGGGAGCUAGCGUUGUUCGGAAUUACUGGGCGUAAAGCGUACGUAGGCGGUUAUUCAAGUCAGAGGUGAAAGCCCGGGGCUCAACCCCGGAACGGCCUUUGAAACUAGGUAGCUAGAGUCUUGGAGAGGUUAGUGGAAUUCCGAGUGUAGAGGUGAAAUUCGUAGAUAUUCGGAAGAACACCAGUGGCGAAGGCG
rnacentral:rRNA from 1 species